AAGCUUGCUCGAAUUGAAUACUCGAGACUAAUGUUGGGAUGUAGGCUUCAUCGUCUGUUUCAAUUUCGGUGAAUUCAAUGAUGGUUGAUGAGGGUUCAGGUGAGACAAGGGGGUCAUAUGGGCCGUGGAUGCUUGUGGAGCGAAGCCCACGACGUAAAAUGAAGGACAGUAGGAUGGUUGGUGUCAGAAAUCCAGUGAGUAAAUCUGAAGGAUCUAAAUUUAAUGUUUUAAUUUCUUUAGGUAAGGAAAUGUAUGAGACUGUGGAUGGUGACAAGAGAUUGAGGGGCACUAGAUGUAAAGGGAAAGAAACCCUAGCAAAAGGCUCAUAAGGAGAGGGUUUUAUUUUGGGAAAACUGGGCAGUGAGGGUUGUGGGGGCCAAAUUAGGAAGUUUAAUACAUUGAGCCAUAACGGUGCAGCUGGCCCAUCAGGACAAUUAGAGAAAUUAGACCGUGUUGUUAUUAGGUCUUUAGGACCAAAAGGGGUCAGAACUUUGAUGAGUAAACGAGGGAAGGACACGCUACAUGGUAACAAUUUUUUAGACAAACAACCAGGCCAAAAUUCUGGGUUGAGUGCUGCUCUUAAGGGAGAGAAUCCAUCUUUGUUGGAUUAAGUUGUGAAGGCUGGUAGGAGUCAUUAAGCCCAGCUAGUGGGUGUUGAGGAAAUCGUUGGGGAAGAAUUACCCAGUGCGGUUGGUGAUGCUCCGAUAGUGAGAGCUGGAGUUAGUUUGAUUUCUAGUAUUCAAUUGAGGACAACUCAUUUUAAUCUUACUUUUGAGGGGCCGGUAGAGUUUGUGGUUUAGAUUUUAGAGGGUGGUAUUGACAUUGGGAAACACACUUCAAUUAUCUUUAAGGAAAACACAAAAAAAACCAAAUAUUUGUGAUUCGAUAGAUGGAGAGUCGAUGAUGGGAUCAGGUAAGGAUUCUUUUCGGAGUUCUGGGCAUGGUUCGAGGGAAAAAUCGGGGGUUGGUCGACACGGUAAAAAUUAUAUAAAAUAAUUCAUUAUCAAGGGAGUCAUUUGAAGACAUCUGGUAGCCCGUGCGCUCCAUUAUCUGAAUCUUUGAAUACUAUGGCUGAAUUUUUUGCUUCUCAAUCUGCAGUGGAUGUUGGUACAAGUAAUUCAACUGGGGUGGGGAACAAAAUGUUAGUCUAAAGAAUCCUAGACAGUGAGGUUCAUCUCUCUUUUCCCGUUUUUAUGGAUUUGAAUUUAACCAUUUUCUCGUAGAACUAUCACAGAUGUGCUAAUGCCAAAUUUGGUAGAGUUUUCAUGGAAUAUAGUUUGGAGUAUAGACCAGAUAUUGUGUGCUUAUUGAAGCCUAGAAUCAAUGGUGGUAUUUGGCUUGGUUGGAAGGAUACUAUUCGGGUAGAGGUGAUUCAGAACCAUCCUUAAUUCAGUUUUGUUCGAGUGCUCAGUAAUGUCCCUUUCAAUAUUAUUUAUAUCUCAUUUGUGUAUGGUAGCCUGGAUAGGCAGAAGCGGAAGCUCCUUUGGGAUGAUUUGAAAUUUUUCAUGUUGGAAAAAUUCUAUUUGAAAAUGAUUUUCUUGCACAUGAAAAAAUAAAAAUUUUGAAAAAUGACUUGAUUUAUGAUAUUUAUAGCAAUAAACGUUACACCGAAAUUGUACUUAUGUUUUUGGAAAGUGGAUACUUGAUGUUUUUCGGCUUUUAACCAAACAAUCUUUUUUGUUAUUCUCAUACCACUAACUACUUCAAGUGUGGGCUCGAACCAAUUGAAUCAAAACAUAAAACUAGAAGAAGUUUUUCUUUUGGGGUGAAAACAAAAAUUCUCUCUUCUUUAAUAGAAACUGAUAACUCUUGAAAAGAGUUAUAAUUAAUGCCUUUAGACUGGGUCAAUUGUCUGUACUUAAGUGAACUUAGUUGCAUUUUAGAAUAUUAUUUUAGCAUUUUUAGAACAUUACAUAAGAAGCUUAGAUGGUGCUUUAAUAUUAAUAUUUGUUACUUCUAAUUGCAUGUGGAAGGGUUGUGUUAUGAUUGGCAGGUGCAGGAUACGGAAAAAGUAAUAAAGGAAUGAAGGUUUGUCGUGGCAAAAGGUUGGAUAGUUUUCCAACACGAAUGUCGUGGAAAUUCCAAGAAGACCGAGUCAACACUCAACUCAUACUAGUUUUAGCCCAACUGUACUUGUAUCGAAAAAUCUGCCUAAAAUAGAGGAGAAGAUAAUCUUCGGAUGUUGGUUUUUAUCCUAGAAAAAAACUUGAAAAGUAGAGAAGAUAAACAUGGGUUGUUGGAAAAAAAGUUAUAAAAAGCAAAAGGAGAAAACCCUAAAGGACGAACAAGGGUGAAGAUCCAUAAGCGAAACUAGAGGGUAGCAUUUGAGUAGAGACGGAAAGAGGAAGACGAAGACAGUCCCUCUCAACCAUCACAGGACACUGUGUCGUUGGAGUGUGAACUGGACACGUGAAAGCUAUCUUCCUGUCGUUCUUCUCUUAUUUCUUAACUAUUUCUCUGUGAAUUGAUUUGAUGAAAACAAUGUUGAAUGAUAUUUUGGUUUUGAAUUUUAUUUGCCAACCUAUGAGCUAAAUCUCAUAGGGUUGGGAUUACAUGAUGAAUCAUUUGUUUUCUUUAAUGGUUGAAGCAUAGAUCUGAAUUAAUUUACAAUUUCAUUCAA